UACGUAGGUGACAAGCGUUGUCCGGAUUUACUGGGCGUAAAGGGCGCGUAGGCGGCUUUGCAAGUGACGGGUGAAAUCCCUCGGCUUAACCGAGGAACUGCCUGUCAGACUGCAUGGCUCGAGACCAGGAGAGGUGAGUGGAAUUCCCAGUGUAGCGGUGAAAUGCGUAGAUAUUGGGAGGAACACCAGUGGCGAAGGCGGCUCACUGGACUGGUACUGACGCUGAUGCGCGAAAGCGUGGGGAGCAAACAGG
rnacentral:rRNA from 1 species